rnacentral:rRNA from 1 species
CAGUAGCCGCGGUAAUACAGAGGAUGCAAGCGUUAUCCGGAAUGAUUGGGCGUAAAGCGUCUGUAGGUGGCUUUUCAAGUCCGCCGUCAAAUCCCAGGGCUCAACCCUGGACAGGCGGUGGAAACUACCAAGCUGGAGUACGGUAGGGGCAGAGGGAAUUUCCGGUGGAGUGGUGAAAUGCGUUGAGAUCGGAAAGAACACCAGUGGCGAAGGCGACUUUCUGGACGAAAACUGACGCUGAGGCGCGGAAGCCAGGGGAGCGAACGGGAUUAGAUACCCCUGUAGUCCCUGUCUCUUAUAC